ACUCGACAGCGUAAAAGUUAAAUCAAAAUUGUAAAGAAUUGGAACGUUUACCUACGUUUGCCGCCAGGGGCGUUAUUCCAACUGCGUACAAAUUUGAGUUAACUUUUACACUAUCGA
rnacentral:pre_miRNA from 9 species